AUGCACAUAUUGUGAGCUCGAUGAGUAGGGCGGGACACGUGGUAUCCUGUCUGAAUAUGGGGGGACCAUCCUCCAAGGCUAAAUACUCCUGACUGACCGAUAGUGAACCAGUACCGUGAGGGAAAGGCGAAAAGAACCCCGGCGAGGGGAGUGAAAAAGAACCUGAAACCGUGUACGUACAAGCAGUGGGAGCCUCUUUUAUGGGGUGACUGCGUACCUUUUGUAUAAUGGGUCAGCGACUUAUAUUCUGUAGCAAGGUUAACCGAAUAGGGGAGCCGAAGGGAAACCGAGUCUUAACUGGGCGUUAAGUUGCAGGGUAUAGACCCGAAACCCGGUGAUCUAGCCAUGGGCAGGUUGAAGGUUGGGUAACACUAACUGGAGGACCGAACCGACUAAUGUUGAAAAAUUAGCGGAUGACUUGUGGCUGGGGGUGAAAGGCCAAUCAAACCGGGAGAUAGCUGGUUCUCCCCGAAAGCU
rnacentral:rRNA from 1 species